UGCAAGUCGAGCGGCAGCGCGGGGGCAACCCUGGCGGCGAGCGGCGAACGGGUGAGUAAUACGUCGGAACGUGUCCAGUAGCGGGGGAUAACCUGUCGAAAGAUAGGCUAAUACCGCAUACGAUCUACGGAUGAAAGCGGGGGACCGCAAGGCCUCGCACUGUUGGAGCGGCCGAUGUCGGAUUAGCUAGUUGGCGGGGUAAAAGCCCACCAAGGCGACGAUCCGUAGCUGGUCUGAGAGGACGACCAGCCACACUGGAACUGAGACACGGUCCAGACUCCUACGGGAGGCAGCAGUGGGGAAUUUUGGACAAUGGGGGCAACCCUGAUCCAGCCAUGCCGCGUGAGUGAAGAAGGCCUUCGGGUUGUAAAGCUCUUUCGGCGGGGACGAAACGGUUCGUGACAACACCACGAACUAAUGACAGUACUCGCAGAAGAAGCACCGGCUAACUACGUGCCAGCAGCCGCGGUAAUACGUAGGGUGCAGGCGUUAAUCGGAAUUACUGGGCGUAAAGCGUGCGCAGGCGGCUCCUUAAGUCAGAUGUGAAAUCCCCGGGCUUAACCUGGGAACUGCGUUUGAAACUGAGGGGCUAGAGUGUGGAAGAGGGGGGUGGAAUUCCAGGUGUAGCAGUGAAAUGCGUAGAGAUCUGGAGGAACACCGAUGGCGAAGGCAGCCCCCUGGGUUAACACUGACGCUCAUGCACGAAAGCGUGGGGAGCAAACAGGAUUAGAUACCCUGGUAGUCCACGCCCUAAACUAUGUCAACUGGUUGUCGGGGGAUUGAUUCCUUGGUAACGAAGCUAACGCGUGAAGUUGACCGCCUGGGGAGUACGGCCGCAAGGUUAAAACUCAAAGGAAUUGACGGGGACCCGCACAAGCGGUGGAUUAUGUGGAUUAAUUCGAUGCAACGCGAAAACCUUACCUACCCUUG
rnacentral:rRNA from 1 species